ACAAUGGAGAGUUUGAUCCUGGCUCAGGAUGAACGCUGGCGGCGUGCCUAAUACAUGCAAGUCGAACGCACUGAUUUUAUCAGU
rnacentral:rRNA from 1 species